rnacentral:hammerhead_ribozyme from 1 species
AUUCAGCUGACGAGUCCCAAAUAGGACCAAACGCGCGUCGUGGGU